CCCAGCAGCACAUGGCUGAGAUUCUGCGAGAGCUCAAACAAACUCGGCAGCAGAAAAUAUGGAUCCCCCAUCAGUGCGAAAGGCUCCAGCAGAGGAGAGGAUCCUCCAUUCCUCAGUUCACUAAUUCGCCUACCAUGACUUACAUCUCCAAGAAAUUCACCCACUACCUCAACUGGAUCGGGAUCCCAACAAAAGAAUGUAUUUUGUCUCCCAGUAUUAAACGUGGGGCAGCGAGAGGUUGUGCAGACCUACAAGAACUUUGAGUUUUUCCUACUGGACAACCAGGAAGCAAUGAAGAUACGAAAAUGUGACAACUAUAUUAAAGGAAGUUUUAUCAACCCAUCAAUCAGUUGAUGAGAGAAGGGGAUAUGGAUAAAGGAUGCUUCUAGCAGCUUGGAAUAGUCCAAUUUUGAUUUGAAUUUGAAAAAAAUUUGAAUUUCGAAAUCUAUCAUGUGUCUUUAUAAAAAUUCGACUUC